UGGGGAAUAUUGGACAAUGGGGGCAACCCUGAUCCAGCAAUGCCGCGUGUGUGAAGAAGGUUUUCGGAUUGUAAAGCACUUUCGACGGGGACGAUGAUGACGGUACCCGUAGAAGAAGCCCCGGCUAACUUCGUGCCAGCAGCCGCGGUAAUACGAAGGGGGCUAGCGUUGCUCGGAAUGACUGGGCGUAAAGGGCGUGUAGGCGGUUUGUACAGUCAGAUGUGAAAUCCCCGGGCUUAACCUGGGAGCUGCAUUUGAUACGUGCAGACUAGAGUGUGAGAGAGGGUUGUGGAAUUCCCAGUGUAGAGGUGAAAUUCGUAGAUAUUGGGAAGAACACCGGUGGCGAAGGCGGCAACCUGGCUCAUAACUGACGCUGAGGCGCGAAAGCGUGGGGAGCAAACAGGAUUAGAUACCCUGGUAGUCCACGCUGUAAACGAUGUGUGCUAGAUGUUGGGUAACUUAGUUAUUCAGUGUCGCAGUUAACGCGUUAAGCACACCGCCUGGGGAGUACGGCCGCAAGGUUGAAAAC
rnacentral:rRNA from 1 species